rnacentral:rRNA from 1 species
CCUACGGGAGGCAGCAGUGAGGAAUAUUGGUCAAUGGACGAGAUUCUGAACCAGCCAAGUAGCGUGAAGGAUGACUGCCCUAUGGGUUGUAAACUUCUUUUAUAAAGGAAUAAAACGCGGCACGUGUGCCUUUUUGCGUGUACUUUAUGAAUAAGGAUCGGCUAACUCCGUGCCAGCAGCCGCGGUAAUACGGAGGAUCCGAGCGUUAUCCGGAUUUAUUGGGUUUAAAGGGUGCGUAGAUGGGUUGUUAAGUCAGGUGUGAAAGUUUGCGGCUCAACCGUCAAAGUGCAGUUGAUACUGGCAGGCUGGAGUAGGGGAGAGGUAGGCGGAAUGCGUGGUGUAGCGGUGAAAUGCAUAGAUAUCGCGAAGAACCCCGAUUGCGAAGGCAGCGUACCAAAGUGUGACUGACGCUGAGGCUCGAAAGUGUGGGUAUCGAACAGGAUUAGAUACCCGGGUAGUC